AGCUAUAUGCCCCCCCCUGUUUCGACUUGCUUAUUAGGGAGGUGAAACAGGGUAGCAUGUUUACUUACGACAAAUUGUGUAAGAGAGUAUUGAUGAGGGAUGUUCACUGAAUAGGCUUUAUCAGAGCACUUUUUGGAACAUCUCGAGAGUAGGGGAAUGAAAAUACGAUUCCUACGCAACAAAUGGUUCGAAAAUCGCAUCUCCCAAACUCAAGUUAUGAUGAAAUGAGUGAUAGAGGAAAAUUAGGGUUUUGAAAGUAAAGGUAAAGGAAUGAAAGUAUAUACCUUGAAAAUGACAUUUGCAUUUGUCACUUUGUUGAUUUCUGAGUAUUGUUCAUUGCAGCGGAGCCCACAUAGCCAUCAUCAUGCCUUUACGACGACUGGAGCGUCCCACGAGGAUUGAGAUCAUGCGACAGGCUGUGAUCGAUGAUGAGCCACUGGACGAGGGUCUCCCAUACAUGAGAGAGCAUACGGCGGGGUAGAUUCUUCACAGUUUGCGAGAUCAGAUUCCCCGGCUGACUCAGGCAGAGAGGGAUACAUUGUCGAUCGUGGGUUUAUGGUAUGCGAUCCUCAUGCCGGCCAUUCGAUUUCAUCCUGCGAUGCUGAUGGCACUGAUGGAGCGAUAGGAUCCUGACACAUGCACAUUCCAUCUUCCAGUAGGAGAGCUGACGGUUACACUUGAGGAUGUGUACCGCAUACUUCGUCUUCCUAUCAGAGGAGCUACUGUGACAUACGCGACCGACCGGUCAGCGGAGGACCAUCAGAGAGAGUAGGUAUACUGCAUAGGGAGAGUCAGGCCGAGCGAGACGAGAGGUCGCAUCAUGGUCAGCUGGCUCUUACAUCCUACAGGAGAGGUGCCCCUUGUGAGACGUCUUAUGAUUGCCAUCAUUGCACUAGCCGUCUGCCCUAAUGGGCGAGGUACGCACAUGCAUGGGGGUCUCACAUGGUGCAUCAGAGCUAUGGAGAGACACAGGAGAGUAUAUGCUUGGGGUCGGAGUAUGCUUGCACAUCUCUAUCAUGACCUUGAGGAGUAUGUGUUUGGACAGGGCUGUAGCUUGAUGACAUGCACACUUCUGCAAGUGUGGAUAUUUGAGCACUUCACAUGCACCAGGCCUGUCUGCUUUCCGAUGAGUACGGCUAGCGAGCGACCUAGGGUGUUUGCUUAUCCACUUACCAGCGAGUGGAGAUUUGGGGAUCUGCUAUAUUGGAGAGUGAUAUUUGAUAGAUUGACAACCGAGGUGACAGUAUGGAGACCAUAUCUGCGGAUGCACAGAUGGGAUGGGAUGGAGAGACAGUUAGCAUGCUUACAGAGGAACCGCCUAUUGCGGGGACGAUAUUCACAUAUCAUAGUCCCAUUCUACUUCGACCGAGUACGGAGGCAGUUUGGGCUAGAGCAGUGUGUUCCAGCCGAUGUACCCAUCUAUACUCGACACUCACGAGUCCUUCCUAGACCUAGAGCAGUAGCGAGACCGACGAUAGAUGACAUCGAGACUAUAGAUAUAGAGGGAUCCGAUCAGGAUGUGGUCACUGAUUACUCUGCAGAGCCUGGAGCACAGCGCAGGUAUGUCUCAUGGUUUAUGAGAUCAUACCUAGGGCCUAUCUUUCCACCAGAUCACCCGACAGGCCAUCCAGGCCCAUGGAGACAUGGAGACUGAGAUGAGGAUCAGGGAUUCAGGUCGGAGGAGCCAGAGGAGGGAGAGGGUCAUGAGGAGGCAGGAGAUCCUGAUCCACCCACAGGAGAUCAGCCUAGUGCCGAGGAGGAGGAGGAGGAUGACACAGAUAGAGAUGAGGAGAGCGAGGAUGCAGGUGAGGAUGCAGACGAGGAUGAGGAUGAGGAUGAGGAUGAGGAUAGAGAUGAUGAGGAGGGGUCAGAUGCCGCUCCCCACCAUUGAGGAGAUGAUACCAUAGCCUUGGAUCCUCCUCUUAUUCCCCAAAAGGGGGAACAUGAGGCGAUACGGAGACCUGUUUCUAGUACGGGCCAGCCUACACCCAUCGUACAUAGAUUAUUUGAGCGUGGGGAGCCUAGUAGUUCCCAGUCACAGAUACUACCAUAUCAUGAUCCCUACUGGCGUGAGGGAGAUCUAGCUAAUGUGCAGGAGUGGCGUUCCCUGAUUCAGCAAGCAGUGACAGACAUUUCCACGAUGGCACAGAUCCCUAGUUCCUCACAGAUUGCUUAUAGGCCUCAGGGGAACGCGGGUCGGCAUAAGGACUUGUUUUCCCCAUUCCGAGUACAGGUGGACAUAUGGAGGGAGAGAGAGAGAGUUCUAUCAGAGAACCUUUAGCGGGCAUAGCGAGAUCUAGCAGCAGCUCAGGCCGAGGCUACCUCCUAUCGCGCGAUCCUUAUGGAUAGGGAUCGUACGAGUUCCUGUCGGAGUCACUCACGGUCUAUAUCGCGCUACACACCUAUGGGUCCACCUGCACGGCCGGAUCAGGAGGGAGCAUCUAGUCGCACUCUCCAGCCACCAGCCCUAGGGAUAGGAGAUGAUCUUAUGAUGUAGGAUAGGUCACAUUUUGGAUAUAUAGUGACCUAUAUUUGUAUA